GACGAACGCUGGCGGCGUGCCUAAUACAUGCGAGUCGAGCGAAAGGACGAGAAGCUUGCUUCUCUGAUGUUAGCAACGGACGGGUGAGUAACACGUGGAUAACCUACCAAUAAGACUGGGAUAACGGCGGGAAACCGGAGCUAAUAACGGAAAAUAUUUUGAACCGCAGGGUUGAAAAGUGAAAGAGGGUCUUGCUGUGACUGAUAGAUGGAUCCGCGCUGCAUUAGCUAGUUGGUAAGGUAACGGCUUACCAAGGCAACGAUGGAUAGCCGACCUGAGAGGCUGAUAGCCCACACUGGAACGUGGACACGGUCCUGACUCCUACGGGAGGCCGCAGUAGGGAACCUUCCGCAAUGGGCGGAAGUCUUACGGAGUAAGCCCGCGUGAGUUACGAAGGUCCCCGGUUCGGAAAACUCUCUUAUUAGUUAAGAACAUAUUUGUAAGUAAAUGUGCACUUCUUGACGGUACCUAAAUAGAAAGCCCCGGCUAACUACGUG
rnacentral:rRNA from 1 species